AGCUAAUUUAUUAGCUGGUUAGUGGCGAAAGGGUGAGUAAUGGAUAGGUAACGUACCCCGUGCUCUGGGAUAGCCAUCCGAAAGGGUGGGUAAUACCGGAUGAUAUCAUCGGCCGAUGGGUCGGUGAUCAAAGAUUUAUCGGCGCGGGCGCGGCCUAUCUCCUAUCAGCUAGUUGGUGAGGUAACGGCCCACCAAGGCGAUGACGGGUAGCGGGACUGAGAGGUUGGCCCGCCACAUCGGAACUGAGAUACUGUCCGGACCCCCACGGGGGGCUGCAGUAACGGAUCUUGGGCAAUGGGCGAAAGCCUGACCCAGCGACGCCGCGUGCGGGAGGAAGCCCUUCGGGGUGUAAACCGCUGUCAGGGGUAAGAAAGUCCACUUCGGUGGAUUGAUCGAACCCAGAGGAAGUCACGGCUAACUCUGUGCCAGCAGCCGCGGUAAGACAGAGGUGGCUAGCGUUGUUCGGUAUCACUGGCUUAAAGCGUGUGUAGGCGGGAACGUAAGCAUUUUGUGAAAUCCCCCGGCUCAACCGGGGCAUUGCUUGAUGUACUGCGUUUCUUGAGGCAAGUAGGGGUGCGAGGAACUCUUGGUGGAGCGGUGGAAUGCGUAGAUAUCAAGAGGAACGCCGGCGGUGAAGACGUUGCACUGGGCUUGUCCUGACGCUGAGACACGAAAGCGUGGGGAGCAAACGGGAUUAGAUACCCCGGUAGUCCACGCUGUAAACGAUGCCUACUAGGUUGUGGCGGUUCUGACGCCGGCACAGCCGAAGCCAAAGUGUUGAGUAGGCCGCCUGGGGAGUAC
rnacentral:rRNA from 1 species